UACAGAGGGUGCAAGCGUUAAUCGGAAUUACUGGGCGUAAAGCGUGCGCAGGCGGUGAUGUAAGACAGGUGUGAAAUCCCCGGGCUCAACCUGGGAAUGGCGAUGGAUACUGGCUCGCUAGAGUGCGGUAGAGGAGAGUGGAAUUCCCGGUGUAGCAGUGAAAUGCGUAGAGAUCGGGAGGAACAUCAGUUGCGAAGGCGGCUCUCUGGACCAGCACUGACACUGAGGCACGAAAGCGUGGGGAGCAAACAGG
rnacentral:rRNA from 1 species